rnacentral:rRNA from 1 species
CGUGUCGUGAGAUGUCGGGUUAAGUCCCAUAACGAGCGAAACCCUUACCCUUAGUUGCAACCCGAAAGGGGCACUCUAGGGGGACUGCCGGUGUCAAACUGGAGGAAGGUGGGGAUGACGUCAAGUCCUCAUGGCCUUUAUGCCCAGGGCUGCACACGUGCUACAAUGGCGUGGACAGAGGGACGCGACUACGCGAGUAGGAGCCGACCCCCGAAAGCACGCCCCAGUUCAGAUCGCAGGCUGCAACCCGCCUGCGUGAAGCCGGAAUCGCUAGUAAUCGCGGGUCAGCAACACCGCGGUGAAUGUGUUCCUGAGCCUU